AGAGUUUGAUCCUGGCUCAGGACGAACGCUGGCGGCGUGCCUAAUACAUGCAAGUUGAGCGCUGAAGGUUGGUACUUGUACCGACUGGAUGAGCAGCGAACGGGUGAGUAACGCGUGGGGAAUCUGCCUUUGAGCGGGGGACAACAUUUGGAAACGAAUGCUAAUACCGCAUAAAAACUUUAAACACAAGUUUUAAGUUUGAAAGAUGCAAUUGCAUCACUCAAAGAUGAUCCCGCGUUGUAUUAGCUAGUUGGUGAGGUAAAGGCUCACCAAGGCGAUGAUACAUAGCCGACCUGAGAGGGUGAUCGGCCACAUUGGGACUGAGACACGGCCCAAACUCCUACGGGAGGCAGCAGUAGGGAAUUUUCGGCAAUGGACGAAAGUCUGACCGAGCAACGCCGCGUGAGUGAAGAAGGUUUUCGGAUCGUAAAACUCUGUUGGUAGAGAAGAACGUUGGUGAGAGUGGAAAGCUCAUCAAGUGACGGUAACUACCCAGAAAGGGACGGCUAACUACGUGCCAGCAGCCGCGGUAAUACGUAGGUCCCGAGCGUUGUCCGGAUUUAUUGGGCGUAAAGCGAGCGCAGGUGGUUUAUUAAGUCUGGUGUAAAAGGCAGUGGCUCAACCAUUGUAUGCAUUGGAAACUGGUAGACUUGAGUGCAGGAGAGGAGAGUGGAAUUCCAUGUGUAGCGGUGAAAUGCGUAGAUAUAUGGAGGAACACCGGUGGCGAAAGCGGCUCUCUGGCCUGUAACUGACACUGAGGCUCGAAAGCGUGGGGAGCAAACAGGAUUAGAUACCCUGGUAGUCCACGCCGUAAACG
rnacentral:rRNA from 1 species